GGGUCGGCCGGAGUGGUCGCUCGUCGGAGUCGUGAGGCUCGCGGACGAGAGGAAAGUCCGGACACCACAAGGCAGCAUGCCGCGCGCAAGCGUCGGAGGUUCUGGGGCAACCCAGGGCAAUGGAAAGUGUCACAGAAAACAAACCGCCUUUUGGAGCUUCGGCCCCGAAGGGUAAGGGUGAAAAGGCGGGGUAAGAGCCCACCGCUCCGACAGCAAUGAAGGAGGCAUGACAAACCCCAUGCGGUGCAAGACAGAACAGGAGAAAGGCCCGCCUGGCCGCAAGCCCUCGCAAGAGGGUGGAUAACUCCGGGUAAUAGUCGCACCUGCUUCGGCAGGGGAAGGUGUACCGCUUGCGGAACAUCACCAGAUAAAUGACCACGCCGGGGGCCGCGAGGCUGAAGGUACAAAAUCCGGCUUAUGAAGGCCGACCCACUU
rnacentral:RNase_P_RNA from 1 species